rnacentral:rRNA from 1 species
GACGACGUUGUUAGGUCGCUUCGGUAAGCGCAGCGAUUCGUUGAGCUAACCGAUACUAAUGAACCGUGAGGCUUAACCUUACAACGCCGAAG